rnacentral:lncRNA from 13 species
CCCCCCCUCCCUCCCUCCCUCCUCUCUUCAUAUGUCCUAACCCUGGUCUCCCUCCCUCCUCCCAUCCAUCCAUCUUUCUCUCUGUACAGCAUCAGUAUUAUUCAUAUGUUCUUAUAUAAGGUCUCUUCUCUUUUGUCAGCUACAGUCACUCUGUUUAUAUAACCUGCUGUGUGUUUUAUACACACAAUUACAGACACGAUACCUAGCCUCCAGCCUAACCUUGACCUCCUUGGUCAUGUGUGUACUAUCUAUCGUCUCUAAAUGUAUCCAUCUAUCUCAAUCACACAGAUACUGUCUAUAUCUGGGUCUGGUCUGGUAUAAAUGUGUCAUAUCUGAUCCUGAUAACUCUUAUAUCUAGCUAGGUUUUACUUCUGGUGUAGUAAGGUGCAUCCUGGGUAAUGUGAGAGGAGAUAUAUACAUCUUAAAUGAGCCACACUCUCUUUCAUCCCUCUCCUUUCUCUCAAAGCACUCGAGACAAACCUUUUAAACACAAAAUCUUUUUAUUUCUUGUUUUUACAGCAAUAUUCUUCAGAAGGUUCCACAUGGAAUAUCUGAGGCAGUAAUACAGAUGAUGUCAUUAUUAACCACAUCUAGUUUGUAUCUGCUGAACGUUGCACAGAAAAGGAAUUGAGAACAAAUGAAAAGAAAACAAAUUCUUACUAAGAUGGAGGGAUGGAGACAGGCUGGGCUCUGAUUGGUCAGACAGCCCAGACCAGGAAGUGGCAUCACUGUUUAAAGGGAAAGGAUUGGUUUAGAGAUUAAAGGGGCAUGACCAACAGCAAGACGAAAGGCUCACAUGUGGCACAACAGUGUGAGUGGCGGGUGUGUGGUGAAGUUAGGGCGAGACUCCGGCCUGAUGCUGUGGUUGCCGUGGUAACUGUACACAAUGUUGUGUUCUAAACCGCCACUAGGCUGAUGACACACAAACAAACACAGCACAAAUAAACGAGUGGAGAAACAGAAUAAAAAAGAAAGACAUUAAAAGCAGAAAUCCCCUUGAUAUAUCGACCCAGUAUCACCCCAAUAUCAACCCAGUAUUACCCCAAUAUCACCCCAAUAUAGACCCAGUAUUACCCCAAUAUCACCCCAAUAUAGACCCAGCAUUACCCCAAUAUUACCCCUGCUUCACCCCAGUAUCAACCCAAUAUCGCCCCAGUAUUGCCCCAGUAUCAACCCAAUAUUGCCCCAGUAUCACCACAAUAUUACACCAAUAUCACCCCAAUAUUACCCAAAUAUCGCCCCAGUAUUGCCCCAAUAUUACCCCAAUAUCGCCCCAGUAUUGCCCCAAUAUCGCCCCAGUAUUGCCCCAAUAUCGCCCCAGUAUUGCCCCAAUAUUACCUCAAUAUCACCCCAGUGUUGCCCCAAUAUCACCCCAGUAUUACCCCGAUAUUGCCCCAAUAUCAUCUCAAUAUAUCGUCCACUUCCCUUAAAGUAUUCAAACGCACCACAGGUAUUCAAACUGACCUAGCAACUAGUGACCUAGCGAUAUGUCUUACAGCUAGGUACCCAGGACCUAUAUGAUCUAGUGGCUAACAGCUAGCUAACCAGGACCUAGCGACCUAGGGGCUAACAGCUAGCUAACCAGAACCUAGCAGUAUGGCUAACAGCUAGCUGGCUAACCAGGAUCUAGCGGCUAACAGCUAGCUGGCCAACCAGGACACCAGGACCUAGCGGCUAACAGAGCAGCUCUACCACAACAAACUGAACAGAAGAUAAAACACACUAACUGACAUUACUAAAAGUCUGUCUGUUAGCCAGCCGCCUCUAUCUCUACUCUAACCAUUACUCUGUCUUAACCUCUAACCUUUACCCUUCACUCUGUUAACCUGACACUACUUAACUCUUUAUUAAUCUUACAGCGUUGGAAAAUUCAUAGGUAUCAUAUCAUCAUGCCAUCUUUUAUUUUAAAUCUCAAAUCCUCUAUGUGUCUAAAGCAUCCACAAGAAAAUAUCUAUUUACACUCAGUCACCCACUCUGAUAUAUGUCAUAUAUAUUGUUGAAGAAACAUUCUCUGAUUAAAUGGACUGAAAACAACAAAAAUAUCCUGGACUUGUGUGUGUGUGUGUGUGUGUGUGUGUGUGUGUGUGUGUGUGUGUGUGUGUGUGUGUGUGUGUGUGUGUGUGUGUGUGUGUGUGUGUGUGUGUGUGUGUGUGUGUGUGUGUGUGCGCCCGCGCCGUAGAAGGCUUUCAUUUCAGAUAAAGGAGACAUCCAUUUCAAAAGUAUAAAUUAAAUUAAAGACCAAAUUCAUCAACACACAAAAAAUAAAAAUUGUUUGAUAAGUUACUAAGAACCCUAAGAGGAGGAGGAAGAGGAGGAAGAGAAAAGCAUAAUUAUUCGAUGUAGAAAGGUGGAGAGUGGGAAAAUGAGGAAGAGCAGAGGGCAGGGGGAGGGGCGUUGAU